GGUUGGCCUCGGAUCAGGCGGGAAUACCCGCUGAACUUAAGCAUAUCAAUAAGCGGAGGAAAAGAAACCAACAGGGAUUGCCCUAGUAACGGCGAGUGAAGCGGCAACAGCUCAAAUUUGAAAUCUGGCCCCGGCCCGAGUUGUAAUUUGCAGAGGAUGCUUUUGGCGCGGUGCCUUCCGAGUUCCCUGGAACGGGACGCCACAGAGGGUGAGAGCCCCGUAUGGUCGGACACCAAGCCUUUGUAAAGCUCCUUCGACGAGUCGAGUAGUUUGGGAAUGCUGCUCAAAAUGGGAGGUAAAUCUCUUCUAAAGCUAAAUAUUGGCCAGAGACCGAUAGCGCACAAGUAGAGUGAUCGAAAGAUGAAAAGCACCUUGAAAAGGGGGUUAAACAGUACGUGAAAUUGUUGAAAGGGAAGGGCUCGUGACCAGACUUGUGCCAGGCGGCUCAUCCGGCGUUCUCGCCGGUGCACUCCGCCUGGCUCAGGCCAGCAUCGGUUCUUGCCGGGGGAUAAGAGCUUCAGGAACGUGGCCCCCUUCGGGGGGUGUUAUAGCCUGUCGCACGAUGCCCUGGCGGGGACCGAGGUUCGCGCUCCGCAAGGAUGCUGGCGUAAUGGUCACCAACCACCCGUCUUGAAACACGGACCAAGGAGUCGUCCAUCAGAGCGAGCGUUUGGGUGUAAAACCCGCACGCGUAAUGAAAGUGAACGCAGGUGAGAGCUUCGGCGCAUCAUCGACCGAUCCUGAUGUAUUCGGAUGGAUUUGAGUAAGAGUUUUGCUGGACGGACCCGAAAGACAGUGAACUAUGCUUGUAUAGGGUGAAGCCAGAGGAAACUCUGGUGGAGGCUCGCAGCGGUUCUGACGUGCAAAUCGAUCGUCAAAUAUGAGCAUGGGGGCGAAAGACUAAUCGAACUGUCUAGUAGCUGGUUACCGCCGAAGUUUCCCUCAGGAUAGCAGUGUUGUUCUUCAGUUUUAUGAGGUAAAGCGAAUGAUUAGGGACUCGGGGGCGCUUAUUAGCCUUCAUCCAUUCUCAAACUUUAAAUAUGUAAGAAGCCCUUGUUACUUAAUUGAACGUGGGCAUUCGAAUGUACCAACACUAGUGGGCCAUUUUUGGUAAGCAGAACUGGCGAUGCGGGAUGAACCGAACGCGGGGUUAAGGCGCCAGAGUGUACGCUCAUCAGACACCACAAAAGGCGUUAGUACAUCUUGACAGCAGGACGGUGGCCAUGGAAGUCGGAAUCCGCUAAGGACUGUGUAACAACUCACCUGCCGAAUGUACUAGCCCUGAAAAUGGAUGGCGCUCAAGCGUACCGCCCAUACCCCGCCCUCAGGGUAGAAACGAUGCCCUGAGGAGUAGGCGGCCGUGGGGGUCUGUGACGAAGCCUUGGGCGUGAGCCCGGGUCGAACGGCCCCUAGUGCAGAUCUU
rnacentral:rRNA from 1 species